CGAAAGGGUGACGAAGCGACGCCGCGUGUGGGAAGAAGGCCUUCGGGUUGUAAACCACUGUCAGGAGUUAAGAAGUGUAAGGAUACUAAUAGUGUCCUUACUUGACUAAGGCUCCAGAGGAAGCCACGGCUAACUCUGUGCCAGCAGCCGCGGUAAUACAGAGGUGGCAAGCGUUGUUCGGAAUUAUUGGGCGUAAAGAGCACGUAGGCGGCCCUGCAAGUCAGCUGUGAAAGCCUCCCGCUCAACGGGAGAACAGCAGUUGAUACUACAGGUCUAGAGUGCGGGAGGGGAGAGUGGAACUUCUGGUGGAGCGGUGAAAUGCGUAGAUAUCAGAAGGAACACCGGCGGCGAAGGCGACUCUCUGGUCCGUAACUGACGCUGAGUGUGCGAAAGCUAGGGGAGCAAACGGGAUUAGAUACCCCGGUAGUCCUAGCCGU
rnacentral:rRNA from 1 species